rnacentral:lncRNA from 1 species
ACACAGAUUACUAGCGCCUCUGGAAGUAGGGCAAGCUCGUUUAUUUCCUCUCCAACAUAGCCUCGGGCCAUCAGAGCGUCUCAUGUCAGGGUCCCUGCCGAGCAAGCUGCAGAAUGAAAACACUGCGAAUAAGAAAGGUCACUGCAUCCGCUCUGCACAUUUACUUCUCACCUGAAAUCUCUGCUUCACUAGCAACGACCUGGCUCAGGCUGUGAACACUGCCUGAGUCGAUGUUCCAGCAGGAGGGAGAAGAAAUCUAUGACUACUGCGCAUAUGCGUGUGUACUUACAGAUUAUUGCCUCAGGUCCGUGGUCCAGCGUUGUGACAAGCUGUCCAUCUGAGGUUCAUGCUUCCUUCAAUUCAAUGCUGCAAGGUACAAGCUGACUGAAAGAAGACCAGCAAUUGGUUGAUUAAUACCAUUGAAGAGGCGUGUCUUCUCCUCCCACAAUAUUAAGGAGCUAUUGUGCAGGUUAUCCUAAUGUUUGACUAGCCCUUCCUGUGUAUCUAAGGCUGAAUCCAACAGCCACUUUUGCCUCACCAGCUAUUCACUGUUUAUAACCCCAGCACUUGAAGUACCAGAGGGUUCAGAGGGAGUCAGUUAUGAAUCAAGGAGAAAAGCAUGGUUGGAAUGAAAAGCUCAGCGGCUGAUGGUCUCCGUUCCUUCGAAAGCCAAGUUGAGGAUGCUGAAAUCCCCUUAUUGUCUUUGGUACCUCAGUGUUCCUAUUUGUGAAAGGCUGAUAAAGAUGCCAGGGAUUCUGGAAAAAGAAAUGGAAUGCAUAUCGACUGGCCACCCAGUAAAACAGAUUUCAGAUGCAAAUAGAAACAAAAAGCUGGGGGAAGUAUGAAGAGUUUUAAGGAUAAAAGAAGAAAAAAAACCUGAAAAGAUAAUCCUUUUAAGAAGCUGAUUUUUUCUUAGUCAUUCCCAAAGUAAGAGGGCCAGGGUAAUACUGCCAAUGCUUAACUCCAAAAUAGAUAAAAGGUUAAAAAAAAAAAAAAGGCUGCUCUAUUGAGGAAAAAAGUCCUGAAAUAACCUAUUACUGGUGUUCAGAAGUCAACUUGUCCAUGAAGACAAGGUCAUCAUUCAUCUUUAUAAAAAGAGACACUGAACAAAGACAAAUAAGUUAAAGCAUUUACUUUUACAUAACACCAGGACAGGUAAAAAAAAAAAAAAAUAGCUAUAAUUCACAGGCCUUGAGCAUGACAGAGAAAUUUAAAGCUUUAGGAGACGUCCUAUGAAAUGCUACACUUCUGGUUUCAACAAAUGCUUGGAGACAUCAUGAAAGUCCUUUUCAUAUGGACAGAAAAUUUUGUUCACCAUUUCUUUUAAAUUCUUUAAAAACCUUUCUUUCUUUCUUUCUUUCUUUUUUUCAAAAUCCCCUUCAGAUUACUCUGUGUCUUGACCUAAAAUCAGAGUCAAAUGAUUCACAGCUUUAGGAGCUUACAUCUAAUUUUACUACCUUUGGCCUUAGUAUUUAUCAACUUCAACACAGAACAAUGCAUUACUCUAACAAUAGUAGACCUUACUGAUUCUGUGAGCUCUCCAUUUGGCUUUUGAAUAUAAUAGCCUUUGUAUGGUUCUUUUAAAUUGACCUAUACAUAUACAGAGGCACAAAUUCCUCCAAAAUGAAUAAUAGAAAGAAAAAUUAAUGCAUUCAUGCAAUGAAAACUUGACAUAAAUAUAUCCCUAAUUAUGGUGGUAAAUGCAUAGGAGACUAGGGCCAUAGAUUAACCUGUAGUAAGAGUAAGAUUUCUGCAGAAUCUCCUGUUUAUCAAAAAAAUUAUGGAAAUUUGAAUUGUACAUCAUGCUAUAUACAAGUUUCUUUUCAUAUUAUAAUGAUAUUUUCCUCCCAAAUUUCCUAGUUGGAUGGCAUCCAUCACCAUAGCAAAACAGAAAGAAAGCCCACAAGACUUUUGAUUAAAUCUUCUGGCUAUUUUCAGGCCAAGUGUUUUGUUUUCUCUUUUGAAUUAUUCAAAUCUCCCUGCCCAGUCAUGCCCUACACUUUGCAAAAGUGUAAUACUAAGAAAUCUUAUAAUUUUUUAUUACUUGCAGAUUUUUCUGGGGCAGGAAUAUCAUUUAAAAUGUUCCCUAAGGAGAAACCAAGUGAGAGGGGAAUUUUCCUCCGAAUUUUCAAUUGUAGUUUAUAGUGAAUGGGAAAAUCACUUCUCACUUAGAUCUACAUGGCUAUUUGUGAGCAGAAAAUAGUUUUAAUUAUUCUGCCUAUGCAACCAAGAUUUUCUGGGACAAUCCCAAUUUCUUUCUUUUCAAUAAAUGUGAAUUUCCAUUACACUUGCAGGAAAUUGUCCAACACACACACUCACAUAGGUGAUUAAAGCCCAUUGUAGAAAGCUGUUCUCUGCACCCAUGUGGAUAUUGGUAAACAACUGGAAACAAGUUAAAUGCUCUUCAGCAGGGGGAAUAGUUUAAGAAAUUUCUGUACAUGCAGUACUAUAACACCAAGCAGAAUCAGGUAGAUCUCCAUGUACUAGUCUGGGAAAAUAGUCAAGAUACAUUGUUUGUUGAAAAAUAUCAAGUUAUAGAACAGAUGUUUAGUAUACUCCCAUUUGUCUCACACUUUGAAAAAUUCUACCAUAUAUAUUUGUAAAGGGUUAGAAAAUCUCUGGCAGGACAGAUCAGAAACAAACCCCAAAUCACCUCUGUUGUUGGGAGGCAGGUUAGGGAUAAAUGGAGGUUUACUUGUAAGUCGUAUUUCCACAUCAUCUCUGUGAACUAAACCCUCCCUGAUUCCUCCCAAUUCUCACUGCUUCCCACUAUGUUGGAGAUCCUGUCAUGUCAUAACUUACACAGCAGUGGCCACAAGAUGUGGGUUUGCAUGAGACUGGCAUGAGAUGGUUGGAAAAAUAAAGACGGUGGGAGUUUCCACCAUGGUACAGUGGGCUAAGGAUCACUGUGGCUGUGUGGGUUCUAUCCCCCCACCUGGUGCAGUAGGUUAAAUGAUCUGGCAUUGCUGCAACUGCAGCGUAAGUCAUAGCUGGGGCAUGGCCUGGGAACUUCCAUAUGCUGUGGGUGUAGCAAAAAAAAAAGAAAGAAAAGAAGGUGGAGGCACAGAACUUAAUUAGCUACGAGGUUGACUGUUGAGGGCUACAGCUAUGGGUCAGGGGUGGUGUCUAAGAGAGAUGAGCUAUUCUCAACAAUGUCAAGAAAAGUCCUAAUCAGGAGUUCCUGUCAUGACUCAGCCAUUAACGAAUCUGACUAGCAUCCAUGAGGAUGCAGGUUCAAUCCCUGGCCUUGCUCAGUGGGUUAAGGAUCCGGUGUUGCUGUGAGCUGUGGCGUAGGUCGCAGACGCUGCUCAGAUCCUGUGUUGCUGUGGUUGUGGUGUAGGCCGGCAGCUUUAGCUCCAAUUUGACCCCUAGCCUGGGGAACCUCCAUGUGCCAUGGAUGCGGCCCUAAAG